rnacentral:rRNA from 1 species
CCUACGGGGGGCAGCAGUGGGGGAUAUUGCACAAUGGGGGAAACCCUGAUGCAGCGACGCCGCGUGUGGGAAGACGGUCCUCUGGAUUGUAAACCACUGUCCCCAGGGACGAAGAUGACGGAACCGGGGGAGGAAGCGCGGGCUAACUACGUGCCAGCAGCCGCGGUACUACGUAGGGAGCGAGCGGUGUCCGGAAUUACGGGGGGUAAAGGGAGCGUAGGCGGGGAUGCAAGGUGGGUGUCCAAACUACCGGCUCAACUGGUAGUCGCACUCCAAACUGCAGCUCUUGAGUGAAGUAGAGGCCGGCUGAAUUCCUAGUGUAGCGGUGAAAUGCGUAGCUAUUAGGAG